rnacentral:tRNA from 1 species
GGCGGUGUAGCUCAGGUGGUCAGNNUGCGGCUCAUAUCCGCAGUGUCCGGGGUUCAAAUCCCUGCACCGCCACCA